GAUGAACGCUGGCGGCGUGCCUAAUACAUGCAAGUCGAGCGAACAGACGAGGAGCUUGCUCCUCUGACGUUAGCGGCGGACGGGUGAGUAACACGUGGAUAACCUACCUAUAAGACUGGGAUAACUUCGGGAAACCGGAGCUAAUACCGGAUAAUAUAUUGAACCGCAUGGUUCAAUAGUGAAAGACGGUUUUGCUGUCACUUAUAGAUGGAUCCGCGCCGCAUUAGCUAGUUGGUAAGGUAACGGCUUACCAAGGCAACGAUGCGUAGCCGACCUGAGAGGGUGGUCGGCCACACGGGAACUGAGACACGGUCCAGACUCCUACGGGGGGCAGCAGUAGGGAAUCUUCCGCAAUGGGCGAAAGCCUGACGGAGCAACGCCGCGUGAGUGAUGAAGGUCUUCGGAUCGUAAAACUCUGUUAUUAGGGAAGAACAAAUGUGUAAGUAACUAUGCACGUCUUGACGGUACCUGAUCAGAAAGCCACGGCUAACUACGUG
rnacentral:rRNA from 1 species